GUUUUAAUAUCUUUUGAGUAUAUCCCUACUAGUGGAAUUGCUGACUCAAAUAGUAACUUUAUAUUUAACUUUUUAAGGCACUGCCAGACUGUCUUCUACUCUCAUUUUUUGCACACAUGCAUGUGUGCACGUAUCUCCUUUUCAGUCAUCUAUUUAUAUAAUAUAUUUAUUUCUGCCUUGGCUAUUUUUUGCUGUUCUUGGUACCUCUCAAACUUUUCCCAUCAUUACCCCUUUUAGGGUAGACUGCAUCAUAUCUUAGUAAUGUCUCUCUUCCCCUCCUCCCUGCCUCUCUCCUUUUUUUUCUCUCUCUCUGUUAGUACAUCUUUAUUCUUUCUCUAAACCUUUUUAAGCCAUUGAUAACUUAAAUUCUAGUUUUCUACAAUCAACUAUAAAAGGAAAUUCUGUUUGAUGCUUUGUAUUUAUUAAUAUUUCCCCAGCCCAUGAGAUUUUUACAACCCAAAUAAUCAUAUCUAUUUAGAUUAUAACAUCCAGUGUCAUAAAGCUAAAAGGAGAAGCAGCAUUAUAGCCAGUGAAUUCUGAAGCAUGAUCUAAGUAGUUUUAAUAGCAUAAGCAAUAAAGUAUCUUCUGUUUGCUUUCCAAGUUCUCAUUAAUCAAUAUUAUAGGUUUGUUUCUCAAUUUAUCUAGAGAAAAAUGAGCUCUGAAGUCAGGUGUCCCUGUUCUGAAUAGAUUCUACUAGUCACAGGGAUAAAAUACAGGACCACAUCUACAAAAUGAGAGGAAAAUUUACUAGGUAUAUUUUCUUUGAUCUUUUACAUACCUAAAAAGUACAUCUGUCUUCAUAGUUAUCUGCUUAUUUUUAUCAAGAGUGAAUCUUUGAAUAAUCCUUUAAUAUUGGCAAAUAAUAAUAAUAUUAGGUUUGAUAAAUAGUCUUUACAUGUGUGUAAAAUUGUUGUUACAGUAUGAGAGCAUAAAACAUUAAAUAUGUAAUGCAGGCACAGAAAU
rnacentral:lncRNA from 1 species